GACGAACGCUGGCGGCGUGCCUAAUACAUGCAAGUUGAGCGCUGAAGGUUGGUACUUGUACCAACUGGAUGAGCAGCGAACGGGUGAGUAACGCGUGGGGAAUCUGCCUUUGAGCGGGGGACAACAUUUGGAAACGAAUGCUAAUACCGCAUAAAAACUUUAAACACAAGUUUUAAGUUUGAAAGAUGCAAUUGCAUCACUCAAAGAUGAUCCCGCGUUGUAUUAGCUAGUUGGUGAGGUAAAGGCUCACCAAGGCGAUGAUACAUAGCCGACCUGAGAGGGGGGUCGGCCACAUUGGGACUGGGACACGGCCCAAACUCCUGCGGGAGGCAGCAGUAGGGGAGCUUCGGCAAUGGACGAAAGUCUGACCGAGCAACGCCGCGGGAGGGAAGAAGGUUUUCGGAUCGUAAAACUCUGUUGGUAGGGAAGAACGGUGGUGAGAGUGGAAAGCUCAUCAAGUGACGGUAACUACCCAGAAAGGGACGGCUAACUACGUG
rnacentral:rRNA from 1 species